AUUGAACGCUGGCGGCAGGCCUAACACAUGCAAGUCGAACGGUAACAGAAAGCAGCUUGCUGCUUUGCUGACGAGUGGCGGACGGGUGAGUAAUGUCUGGGAAACUGCCUGAUGGAGGGGGAUAACUACUGGAAACGGUAGCUAAUACCGCAUAACGUCGCAAGACCAAAGAGGGGGACCUUCGGGCCUCUUGCCAUCGGAUGUGCCCAGAUGGGAUUAGCUAGUAGGUGGGGUAAAGGCUCACCUAGGCGACGAUCCCUAGCUGGUCUGAGAGGAUGACCAGCCACACUGGAACUGAGACACGGUCCAGACUCCUACGGGAGGCAGCAGUGGGGAAUAUUGCACAAUGGGCGCAAGCCUGAUGCAGCCAUGCCGCGUGUAUGAAGAAGGCCUUCGGGUUGUAAAGUACUUUCAGCGGGGAGGAAGGGAGUAAAGUUAAUACCUUUGCUCAUUGACGUUACCCGCAGAAGAGGCACCGGCUAACUCCGUG
rnacentral:rRNA from 1 species